rnacentral:misc_RNA from 1 species
CCUGGAUUUCCAUUAUACAAUGAAUUGGAUACAAUUUCAAACAUUUAGGUCUAUGUGAUGCAUGGAAAGAUGAAAAUUGCUUUAAGCCUAUCAUAGUGAUACAACAGGAGUGGUUUUCUUGUGAACAUUACAAUCCAAGAUAAAUUAAACAUGCACUACAAUUAGAUCAUUAAGAUGCUAUACAAUUAGAUCAUUAAGAUGCUGUUGCUGCCAAGAGAUUUUCACUCAUCAGCUCCUGAGAGGGUCCCUCUGGACUUGAUAUGUUCCAACUCUUAACUAACCAUUUGACCAUAUGAACUCAGUAGCUUCCACAUUGUGAGCAUGCAUCUAACCUAGUAAUCAUCAGCCAAUUCAAUAACAUAAAGCCUGAUUUCUUGCAGCAUUCCUCAGCCACCAGCACAAAGCUACAUCAUUAGUAUUCAACCAUCUAGUUGAUUUACAAGUAGAUGCGAAGUUUUGCCCUGGUUUGCUCAUGGCCAAUCACAGAGCAGCAGAUUGCAUCAUGACGGAUGUAGUACACGCAAAUCAGCAUAUGGUUUUUACUGCUUUGUGCAAGAACAGUCACCAUGGCUAAUCCACACACAGCAAAGAGCAGGUACUAGCUGUUCAGAAACUUUGCCCGACUGUGUAAAAUAACAAUCCAGGUGAUGAAUAUAUGGUAAAUCUUUCAAUAAGAGUUGAAAAUCUACCUUGUUUCACCAAUUUAUGACUGAUGCAACGUUGGUUCUACUCUGAAGUUUUUCUUUCCACACUUUCCAAGCACUCCUGACUUCAUCCAAUUCUGCAUCUGGAAUGCUAGUGUGCUCAUCCAAUUUCUCAACCCAUUCCUUCCAAGGGAAGCCACAAGGGUCCAGGAACUUUGACACUUGAGGCAGCAUUACAUUAAUAUAGAAAUCAUUGACUACCUUGAGAAUUUCUUCUGAUUCAACCAUUGUAAGCAUCUCAGGUCGUGAUCCUACGCCGGGUCUUGUUCUAAAUAAAAAACUGUUGCUUCUCAAAAUCAGAACUUCAGACGGAGCAAGUGGUAGGACAAUCCUUGAGAACUUUGCUAGUGACAAUGUUAAAAUAUCUCUUGGGAGUAACUUGCGCUUUACAGCCACAGCAGUCGCAACCAUUUUGCGGAUCUGAUGUAACAUGAAAGACUCUCCCCAUAUAGAAAUUUCAACAAAAUCAAAUCCCACUGAUUUCUCCAGCUUUCCACAAGAACAGCGAAAAAUCUUUCUGAAAUGGGAAGCACCUAUUCUAUCAGUCUCAUCAGGUUCAUGUAGCCAUCUGGCACGGUUAACUGCAUUUGAUUUUUGGUCCUUCAGAACACUCCCAUUCCGAUUAUAGAAGCUGGAUUCCAUAGAAUUUUGAGUGGAUUCCAUAGAAUUUUUAGUUGGUUCCAUGUGAUCCAAUUUAAUCAUUCGAUCAACGCCAUAAUUUUCUUCUUGAUCACUUUCCUCAAUUUCAGAGGCUGAUAUCUCACCAGAUGAUCUUGGUCUCUUUGAAACACGCCCAAUUUUGGGGGUGGGAAAUUGUUUCCUGUACUUGGACCGUAUUGUAUAAUUAUGAAAGGGAUGUUCCCCCUCAAAGGCAUUUAAUAUAUCAUUGAAGUCUGAUAAGUGAUUAUCAAUUUCAGCGGUGGUAAAGUGACUUUUGAUCCCAAUAAUUUCAGCAGGAAGGAGGUAGGAAUAUUUCCGUAGGUCACACUCUCUUCUAGGAUCAAAGCUCCUAAAACAUGUGCCAAAGAUCAUAAGAAAAUAAAAUGUAAAACAACCUGAAAGAUCUGCACAGACCUCCGAACAAGCUUGUACAUCAUAAUUAACUAUUCUAAAUAACAAAAUGUUGUUCAGAACUGAAAUUAUUUGCCUCGAUUUAUGUUCUUUUAAAAGACAAACAGAAAAAUUGCUCUAACCUUAUUUUUGAAAGCUAUACAGAGUGGGACAAGUCCUCAAAGUGAUAUUGUUGGCACAAUUCACUUAUAUAGCAUAUUUUGCAUGGUUGUGGGCAUGGUGAAAAUUUUUAAAACCUUAGGAUGUAUGAUCCAAACAGAAAGCUACUGUUACGUGGUUAUUUUGUUUACUUUCCAUAUUCUGGUCUUAAAUGCACUAAUUUGAUUUAGGCAGUACUUAUACAAGAAGCCUAAAGAAAAGGAUUUAAUCCCAAAUUUUCAUUUGCACAACUUGGUACUCGGAUAAGCAAAUGGAAAAUAAAUGUGUAGAAACUUCAACAUCAAAUUUUAAAAGUCUUUCUGGACACAAUGACCCAAAAUUGAUGGUGCUUAUGGUACAAAGGAAAAAAAAAAGUAAGUCAAGAGUCUCACUUCUGUGAGGGCAAAAUGCUGAAAAUUCUGAUAGUAUCAGGAAGAUAAUUAUUAACAUGUUCCGCAAGGGCAAUGCCAUAAGGGUCUUCCUUCCAAGCAUUUUCAGGUAUCUCCAUCUUCAUUGUUAUCAUUGUUGCCAAUGAGUGAACCUAAUACAAUUUACCCAUAAUAUCAAACCAAGUAAAUCAUUCCCCACUCAUAUGCCCUUAAGUGCAUGUUUGGUACUAUGUAAUCGAAUGUAACAUAAUGUAAUCAAAUAGUUAACAUUUCAUUAUGUUCAUUUACAUCCUAGCAAACAUGCACAUUUAUGAACGUGUGGAAAAGGAAUCAGAUUCAAUAAACGUCAUUCAUAUAUAAAAAGGAAUACAACUCACUCCUUUAUCAGUGCGGCUGCUUCUAGCCCAGGCAAUUUUUUGCAAAUUUCCAUAAUUACUAUCAAGAAUUCCGCCAGCCUUAAAUAUGGCGUGUUCUAAUUCUGCUUCAAUAGCUACAUUCGGAAAAUUGAAAGCAAUAAACUUUUAGGAAGAACCAGAAUAAUCUUAGCGUAACCCAUUAAAUUCAACUAUUUGAGCUAUUCAUCAACUGAAUUAGCAAUUCUCUCCACACUACCAUUCAAUGUAAAUAAUUCUAAAACAUGAACUAUCUAGUUCCAUGUCCACUGUACUUAUAUAAACAGUCAAAUGUAAUUGCUUACUCGACAACGAAUGUUCAUCUUGUUGCUUUUGGAGGCCUCUGUAGUCAGUACCCACGUAGCCAACCCGCAGAACCACCUUUUUCUUGCGAAAGGGUUGCCAUUUCUCGGACUGGUUCAAGGCAUGAGAAGUGGAUAGUGGAGAUCGAAGCGAAGAACCACAAAAACAGCAUAACAGGCUCAGUUUCGAUGGAAAUAUUGGCAUUAGGAGAGAUUUGAAAGAGGUUUGUCUUGGGUUUUUGACGAGCCAUGGAGAGAGCGGCAAUCGCAGAGAGGAGAUUGCCAUAUUGCCCGGAGACUGAAAACAGAGCCGAUGAUAGGAGAGGAUGCACUACUGGC